rnacentral:rRNA from 1 species
CGGGUGAGUAAUGCGUGAACAACCUGCCCCAUGCUCCAGAAUAGCUCUUGGAAACGGGUGGUAAUGCUGGAUGCUCCAACUUGACGCAUGUCUUGUUGGGAAAGUGUUUAGUGGCAUGGGAUGGGGUCGCGUCCUAUCAGCUUGUAGGCGGGGUAAUGGCCCACCUAGGCUUCGACGGGUAGCCGGCCUGAGAGGGCGGACGGCCACAUUGGGACUGAGAUACGGCCCAGACUCCUACGGGAGGCAGCAGUC